rnacentral:lncRNA from 1 species
ACUUCCUAGGCCACGCCACGCCGCUCCACCAGCUCAGGGAACCCCCUUGGCCGUGCAGACCUGCGCCACAGGGUCGUUUCCUCCCCUCCUUCCCUCGAAAGCGUAUGCAUUUCGUUGCCCCUGGAACUGGGGUCAUUUCAGGACCUCCCAAGGAGGGUCAGGAUGGUGGUAUUGGCCUUAGGGGACGCGGGCUCAGGUUGGCGGUUGAACCGCAUGUUCCUGUUUCAAACAAACCUAAAUGUAGGCCUGGAAGGCUGUGCACUGAAAUCCUAGUAUUAGGUUGGUGCAAAAUUAAUUGCGAUUUUUGCCAUUGUAGGUUGUCUGCAGAGUGAGAUUAUGGCGAAGCAUUUUAUUCUUUUUACAAACCUGCUUUUUCUCAGUUUUCCACAUUGGAUUUGCCAGCUACCUGCCUUUGCAGGACACCUCAGAAGUUACAGACUUGCCUGUGGAAAUGCAGAGAGCACCUGAGGUAUUUCCCGGACUCUCCAGUAGUAGCCUUGAAUGGCUGACCAACCGCAGUCACCUGCCAGAUCUUCUCAGAACCGGCCAGCCCACCAGCGACAGGCCCAUUAAGUGGCCUGGCCCAGCCCAGAUGGAAAACCCCCUCCACGUGACUUUCUAAAGAACAUGCAUGAAGACAAAACACCAGGUGCCUCAGGUAACCCUUGUUUGCAGGAAGAUAAAUAAGAAGGCUUCCUUAGGAUACUGAC